rnacentral:rRNA from 1 species
UACGGAGGGUGCAAGCGUUAUCCGGAUUCACUGGGUUUAAAGGGUGCGUAGGCGGGCAUUUAAGUCAGUGGUGAAAUGCCUGAGCUUAACUUGGGAACUGCCAUUGAUACUAUUUGUCUUGAAUGUCGUGGAGGUUAGCGGAAUAUGUCAUGUAGCGGUGAAAUGCUUAGAUAUGACAUAGAACACCUAUUGCGAAGGCAGCUUACUACACGAUCAUUGACGCUGAGGCACGAAAGCGUGGGGAGCAAACAGG